AAGCUCGUUUCUACCUCUUGGAUGGAUACAGUUAAGAAGUGGCUGGUUAACCAAAGAACAAACUUCAAGUCUUAUGAACAAUGAACAGAGGGAGUGCACUUAGGAAGAUUGAAUGUGUUCCCUGCUAUGUUGCUGCACUAAGAUACAAACAUUUUAUUCAUGGAAACAAAAAUAAACAUCAGGCCAGGAGACACUGCAUUCCUGUUAACCAGUAGAUAAGACAGUUACCACCUACUGAAACUGAUAAGAUGUAGAAUUGCUUCUGCUGAAGUCAUUUCAUAAUGCAACUUAUCUCAACUGCAUAUUAAGAUAUCUAACCUGGAAAAAAAAAAAAGCCAUAGAUCUUCAA